AUCUCAUCGCUAAGUUUGAGUCCAGCCACCGUAGAGAAAAUACUUUUACUCAUCGACUGGGAGCUCAUUCUUCUGGCCACGAUCCAUACCUGAAGAAUAUGUUAGACUUGGAACCUACAUGGACCAGUGAAAUGAGAACUUAACUUUUUGGCUCAGUUGUGAUCAAGAAGCCAAGAUAGUUGAACUACUUCAAUUGGCAGAGUCCAACCUGAAGAAGCAUCUCUUGAAACAGAAGCUGCAGCUCUUGUAGAGGAUGAAGAUGAGGAGCAGACCUAUAAUAAGGAGGAAGGCUAGGACGUCCAGGCUGUGGUACUGGUACCAGGUGAGUUCGUGGGCCUGGACCCUCAGGUGUUUGGCUCCUUUGUUUCUCAUGG